UGCCCAUUGGCCCAGUGGUCAAGGCGUCUGACUGUUAGCAAACAAAAAAUCAGAAGAUCCCUGGUUCGACCCCAGGAUGGGCAG
rnacentral:tRNA from 1 species